rnacentral:rRNA from 1 species
AUUGAACGCUAGCGGCAUGCCUAACACAUGCAAGUCGAACGAGUGGCGGACGGGUGAGUAAUGUCUGUGACACUUCCUGGUGGAGAGGUAUAACUACUCGAAACGGUAGCUAAUACCGCAUACCAUCAGAUGUGCCCAGAUGGGAUUAGCGAGUUGGUGGGGUAACGGCUCACCAAGGCGACGAUCCCUAGCUGGUUUGAGAGGAUGACCAGCCACACUGGAACUGAGACACGGUCCAGACUCCUACGGGAGGCAGCAGUGGGGAAUAGUGCACAAGGGGCGCAAGCCGGAUCCAGCCAUGCCGCGUGUAUGAAGAAGGCCUUCGGGUUGUAAAGUACUUUCAGCGGGGAAGCGUUACCCGCAGAAGAAGCACCGGCUAACUCCGUGCCAGCCGCCGCGGUAAUUC